rnacentral:lncRNA from 1 species
UAAUUAAUAAGGAUGUUAGUUAUCUCUUGUACGAUUGUGUUUGGUUGUGUCUUAUUUUAAAUAAAAACAUGUGUAAUCUGUGUUCUACUUCUCCAUGGCCUAAUUAAUAUAUUAUGUAGUGUGUCCCAUAUAUCAAAUUGGAAAUGUGUAAGUUUAGUGUAAUGAUGUGUUUGUAUCGUGUACUAAGCUGUACUAAGUCGGUUACGGUUUUUUUCGGUUUGGUUUUUCGGUUUUUCGGCUCGGUUUCGGUUUUGCGGUUUUUUUUUCUCACCCCUAAAUGAAAGGGGAUAUCCUUAAUUCCUUGUAUAGACCGCAAGCAGUAAUGGCGUCUGGGCAGGUUCUCUUUCAUCGUUUCUAUUGCAAGAAGUCAUUUGCUAAGUUUAAUGUGAAGGUUUGUUUUCUUAUCUACAUGCAUCAAUGCUUGAAAGGAUUUGGAAGAGGCAGUGUUUGUUUUAAGGUAUGAACUUGUUUAUUUCCUUGCAGAGGCUUGCUGCCAGUUGUGUUUGGGUUGCCUCAAAGCUCGAAGAAAAUCCCAGGAAAGCAAGACAUGUUAUCAAUGUUUUCCACCGAAUGGAGUGUAGAAGGGAGAACUUACCAAUAGAGCAUUUGGAUUCAUUUUCUAAGGUUAGGUGUUGAGAUUAGUUUAAAAACAUUUAGACUCAGUUCAUUUCCUAUUUGUGUGUCAAAUCUUGAAAAGUAUCUUAUAUGUUUCUUCUAAGAGUUGCAUGGCUUUCUUUUUAACAGAAAUAUGCGGAACUAAAGUUGGAUUUGAUCAGAACAGAGAGGCAUCUCUUAAAAGAGAUGGGUUUUGUCUGCCAUGUUGAGCAUCCCCAUAAAUUUAUAUCAAACUACCUUGCUACUCUUGAAACACCCCCAGAAUUGAGACAAGAAGCUUGGAAUCUUGCAAAUGACAGGUAAUUGUACUUUAGCAUGCUUACUAAACUCAAUAGGGCUCAUAGGGGAGAACUAGCUAGUCAUAGUUUUCACAGAAACGUCUUGAAUAUCCAUUAUUACGAUGCAUUAUAUUAUAUCCACUAUCUCCAUGACUAGUGUUAUGCAGUAAUGCAUGAUUAUUACAUAUCAAGCAAAGUAGUAGAGUAGCAUCAAGAUGACUUCAGUCGUAUACAUUCAUACAUGAAUGUAUUCUGUCAAUUCCACCAAAGUUACAAUCAGCUUUUUGAGACUGGCUGCCAUACCAUGAACCAUCAUAAACUUGCAGUUAAUGGAAAUAUAUUACUUUUUUUAGCACGGAGGGCCUAUAACAUCGAGGUUGUUAAUAGGAGGCAAUGUUUUUUUCUUUUUGUAAUACUAUAUUACUCCCUCCGCCCCUCUCAUUUCUUUACGACUUUUUUACACUGUUUGACACACAUUUUAAGGCUCCUAUAAAGUAUUUUCGUAACUUAUUUUUAAAAGUUUCUUCUUCUUCUUCUUUUUUUUUGUAUAAAAAUAUAAACAUUGUACUUCUAUUUAGAAGGAAUAAAUUGAAAAUAAUUUAUGAAACUAUACUUAUAGGAGUCUUAAAAUGCGUGUCGAGCCCUCCGCCCCCGGUGUGAACAACCUAGGGGGACGGAAGGAGUAGUAGCUAAUGAAUUAUGAUAGAAGUCUGGAAGGAAAGUUCCUAAAAAUAACAAUCGAUUCAAUCCUGCAAAGACUGUGUAAGGGCCCUCGAGCGAUGGCUAAUUGGCAUAACGCUAUGUUGCAUCCAUUGUUAUCAAGUUGACGACUAGUCGACAAGUCGAUUUAUAGAAAAAGUCAAGCAACGACUCAUUUAGUCUGGCGACUUAUUUUCAACAUAUCAGUGUCUCCCUAAUCUUUGUAUCAUUUCAACUUCACAUUAUUAUAUCCUUCAUGUCACUACUUUUUGGCUUCAGGCUAUGUAAUCUUUGUAUCAUUUUCAACAUAUAAGUAUAUCCCUAAUCUUUGUAUCAUUUCAACUUCACAAUAUUAUUUCUUUCCUAUCACUACUUUCUGGCUUCAAUUUAUAUGUGAACUAACAAUCUGCUACGUCGUAUACAUCUCACUAUUGCUUAUUAUCUUUUACUUACGAUUCAAACUAUAAACUGAUGUGCAUUCAACUAUAUUUUAUAUAUUAAAUCUAGUAAAAAUAUGUAUAAGAAUGACUUGUCGACUUUUUACGACUAGUCGGACGACUUGUCGACUAGUCGAUUCCAAGGUAUCCGGGCGCCGAGGCUCGACUUGGCGCUGUAAUAACCUUGGUUGCAUCGGCCAUAGCUUAAGUGAAUAGAGUGAAAUAGCAGUUGAGUGGAAAGUCUAGAAUAGUUGAUUGUGAGUCCUAGAAGUAGCUAUGUAAUAGUACUGAGCAUUAUGAAAUAGUGAAAAAAUGUUAUCUCUUUUCCACCAACUAUUUCUCACAAAAUCCUUUAGCUUUUCUUUCUAUAUUCCCUCUUCUCGUAUCAUCACAUCAUAUCUUUUUCUUGAUUUUGCUAUUUUCGUUUUUACUUCACAAUUCCUGUAAGAGAUUAUAAUUAAUUCUUGGAACGCUUCUCUGCUGCUGGAGCCUGGAAGAAUAAAAUAAAAAAAAUAAUAAUUAAUGUAGGUGUAUAUAAUAAUAUGAAAAAAUAGAAGAUAAUUUUCAUUCCUCUAAUAUAUACUCCCUCCGUCCCUCUCAAUUCUUAACAUUGGGGGACGGGGGCGUGGCACGGACUUUAAUGCUCCUAUAAAGUAUAGUUUUAUAACUUUUUUUAAAAAUUUUAUUUUUCCGAAUAAAAGUUUGAUGUUUAAAUUUUUAUUCAGAAAAAGAAAAUUUUAAAAAAAAUUGUAGAACUAUGUUUUUUAGACGCAUUAAAAUGCGUGUCGAGCAGUGAAAAAGAAAUGUUAAGAAAUGAAAGGGACAAAGGGAGUAGUUAUUAUGCAGAACCAUAGGUUUUCAAAUAUAUGUUCACUAGCACUUCUGAUAAUAUUUGUCCUCUAAUCCUUCUCAUCAAUCAAGAUUUCAGCUUAACUGUUGCUAAUCUUUGUAUCUUAGAUAGACAAUAACAUGGGAGGAUAUUGGUUGGUUUUGAGUAGUCAUAUUGUAAGAAUAUUCUGUGUAUAUUAUUGUUAUUUUUUUAGAGUAUGGAUCAUUCGAAUUGAGAAAGAUAAACUAUGUUGACAAGUUUUCAUUGAAGUUGGUGCCAGUGUCUUAAAAAGGUUUUUAUGGAACUCCUAAAUUUACAGUAUUGAUAUUGGCAUGCAACUAGGUGACCACUAUACUUUUUGUGCUUUUUUAGUUUGUAUUAGAGUAUCAUUCCCACACAUUUCAUUGUAUUUCUCCAAAUAAGUGAUGCAUGACUUGCUUUGCAUCAGAAACAACACUGUUAAUGAGAUUUAUUUCGUCCACUUUUUUCACUUUGUUUUAAAAUAUCUUUAAGGGGCAAUGUUUGUGUAGUCUUAGUCAUCUAGAAAUGUCUAGUCCCGGUGUAGGUAGGAUGUGAGAGUAUUUAAUAUUUAUGUAAUAUCUUUAAGGGGCAAUGUUUGUGUAGUCUUAGUCAUCUAGAAUUGUCUAGUCCCGGUGUAGGUAGGAUGUGAGAGUAUUUAAUAUUUAUGUAAUAUGUAAUUGAACAUAAAAUAACAUUAUUCUACAAGUUGAAAGGGACUCGUAUGUUUUUUUUUGCCAAAAUUUAGAGCGGAUUUCAUUAACGCUUUAAAAAAGACUUGAUCGGGACAAAACCCCAACUGAUCAUGCAACCAGGUUGAAAAACAAAUAAACGAGCUAAAUAAUUAGCCGCUUUGUUUCCGGAUUGUUCAACUAACUGAAUACAAAUAUUUUGAAAAUUAAAAAUGAAGAUAAUGGUUCCUUGAGCAAUCCAACCUGCAUCUCCCCUGAAAACAGUAGCUUCACAAUUGACCCUCACAAUAAUCUCAUGGAUAAUGCAAUGUUCUGAGAAUUCAGUUGCAAAAACUAUUAUGAACAAAUAUAUUUUGUGAGAGGUGAGCACAUGCGAUUUUCACUACCGUUCCAAACGCACCCCAGCUAUUUACCUGCCGGACUCCAGCUAUAGACCUGCCGAAAGUGUUGUUGAUGCGAGAUCUCCAGAUCUCCCAAUACAUCGUAAAAUUUAUUUUCAACACCAACACAUCGCACAAAGCGAGACACUCAAACACACAAAUAAUAACUCAGACAGAAGACAACGGAAAAACCCAAAUGAGUUUCCCGAAUUUUGUGGAACAAAACUUGAUUUUAUUAAAGAAUAAACAAACAAAUAGGAUUAUUGAUAUAAAAUUAAAAAGAAGAGAAUAGGUGUUGUGCGGAUGGAGAAGCGGCGGCCAAAGAAUUGGGAUGGGAUGAAAGGAGAUAGGGAUAGAGAUGGGUAGAAGAGGUGGAGAAGGAGAUGAAGGCGGCUAGGGUUAGAGGAAGAUAGAGCGGCCGACUCUCAUAAGAGAGAGAAUUCUUUUUCGGUCAACCAGUGAAUUUUAUUUUUUUCAAGAUUUAAUUUUGCAAUAUCUUAAGAUUUUAAAAGAUUCUUAUAAGGCCUGGUUGAAUACCCUCACUAUUUGAUGCGUCACUUAAAACCCCUUACUCCUGUUGCAGUAGAAACUAGAAACUGAAAGGGACUCGUAUAAUUUUGGUAAGUUUUGAAAUGUAAAGAAUUGGAUGGGCAUCCCAAAAAAGAAACUAUAAAGAAAUGGUUGAGACGGAGGGAGUAAUGAAGUAGGGGAAGUAAUCAUCAAGGUAGUUUCAAGUUGUUUUUUUGCUUUGUUAGUCUAACCGAUAUGUAACAUUCACCCUUGUUCUGAUUUAAGCAGUUUGCGAACAACUCUCUGUGUUCGAUUCAAAAGUGAGGUUGUAGCUUGCGGGGUUGUAUAUGCUGCUGCCCGGAGAUUUCAAGUACCCCUGCCUGAGAAUCCUCCAUGGUGGAAAGCUUUUGAUGCAGAUAAGUCUGGGAUAGAUGAAGUUUGUAGAGUGCUGGCUCACUUGUACAGCCUACCUAAGGCAAAGUAUAUCCCAGUGUGCAAGGAAGGAGGCUCAUUUUCUACCACAAGUAAAUCAUGGGAUCCUCAGCCAAUGUUAAAGGUAAAUCUACCAGACUACCACUCCUCGUAUUUGUGGUUUCUGUUUAAUUUGACUUACGAAUUUUCUUUUUCAUAUGGGGUAUGAUAUACUUGUUAAUUCAUUUUGCAAAUCGAAAAAUCAACCAACUGGACUUAUUUUUAAAUUGUGUUUAACUUCUACGUUUCGUAUAUAUAUAGGAAGAUACUUUGAGUGGCCCACCAACAAAGGAUGAUCCUAAAACAGCUACAACUGUUAUGAUCAGUUCUGGUGGGUCAAAGGAGUCACUUGGGAAAGCAGCUGCUGGUAAAUUGAAGGAGUCAAAGAAGAACGCGGACAUUUCCCAAACCGCACCUCUUGUAGAAGACGAGGCCAAGGAAGAACAAAUGCCACGAAAACCAAGAUCUGAACAUAAAUUGGGGGCAGAAGGGGAAAGGAUCAAGGAGAGGGAGAGAGAGAAAGACCGAGUCAAGGUUCGAGACCGGGAAAGAGGGAGGGACUCUGACAGAGAGCGGGAGCGGGAGGAUGGUGAACGUGAUAGAGAGAAAAUUAAGGACAGAACCCACCGCUCAAAGGAGAAAGGUAGAGAUUCAGGUCAGUUGAGAUCCUAACACACUAAUAAUUUCAGUAGUCAAAAUGCAGUUAUAAUCUGAAGAGAAAAGGGCCUAGGGCAAACUUGUAGAAAAUUGUCUGCAAUAUACAAGAUAUGACUUUGUUGGUUUCUAAUUUUGAAAAGUUCAAUCAUGUGCAUUGCAAAUUACUUAAUAAAUAGUGAUGCUUCCAGAGAUUAUGAAAUUUUAUAUUAAUUUUGUUCCUCUGCACAGUGUAUUGCAAAUUUGCAUGUAAUCAUGCACAUUUACUUAUGUCAUGAAUCAUCAUACAUGUGUCGUUGAUUAUAUAAAUUGGUCACAUAGUUCUAGUUCGGCUGUACAUGUAUAGGCCCCUCAUGUUUUGUUCAAAAAUCUCUCUUGCCCCUCAUCUUUCCAGUAGACCUAUUACACCUCUGUUCUUUUGCACAAGACCUAUUAUACUCCUCUAGCUAUUAUGUCAUAACACUUAAAUCCUUCUUCAAUAUUAUUAAUUUUAUGCUAGGAGUAAGUUCUGUAAUUGUUUCUUACAAAUAUUUUAUAUACAUGACACUAAUAUUAUUAAGAUUAAAUUAUAUUACAUUCCAUUUUACAGAAGUAUAAAGUAAUUUCAUGAAUUAUAAUUUAAUAAUAAUUUCCUAAUUUUUAAUAUUUAUAAUAGAAUUACAAUAAUGUACAUGGUUUGUGAAGUACUUACAAUAGGAAAUAUAUUUGUAUUAAUUUGUGGCUUGUUUGUUAAUAAAAGCAUAUGUCUCAGUAUGAAGUUGAAACUUUUUACAGAAAAACAAUUGUAAAGGGUAUGAAUAUUAUACAGGGAUAAAUUGAGGGGCUUGAUAGGUCAAUGCUAGAGCUGUAAUUCGAGUCGGGCGGCUCGAAAGCUUUCCCGGCUCGAACUCAUUUAAGUGGGCUCUGCUCGACUCGACUCGUCAAACGAGCCGAGUUCGGGCAAAGGUUUCGGCUCGUUUAAUCAAACAAGCCGGCUCGACUCGACUCGUGAAAUCAAACGAGCCGAGUUCGAAUAGAGGUUUGGGCUCGAUUAAGUGUAAAAUUAUACGAGCUGGCUCGCUCGACUCGUUAAAACCGACUCGUUUAGCUAAACGAGCCAGCUCGACUCGACUCGUGAAAUUAAUCGAGUCGAGUUCGGGCAAAAAUUUAGGCUCGAUUAGUUAACCGAGCCGGCUCGGCUCGACUCGAUUAAACUUGGCUCGAAUUAGGCUCGGCUCGAAACUAGCCCGGUUCGGCUCGAAUUACAACCCUAGUCAAUGCCAAAGUCCGGGGCAUUAUAAACUUUUGGACCAACUUUAAAGGGUCUAUACAUGUAUUCAGCAGCUCUUGUUCUGAUACGCCAACUCUCUAAUCUUUUAUUUUUUUGGCUAAUUUUAAUUAUAUGUGCAAGGGUUAACCAUACCCUGGCUCUAGUCCUGGACCCUGGUUGAUAUAAGUAUCGUUUAAUUUGUAUCUUACGCUGUGAUUCUUCUCUCCUCUGUUUGUGCAGGACAUUCAGGUAUGCCAAAGCAUCAUUCGUCUCGAGGUAUGUGAUGUUUUCUUUUAGUAUUUCCAUGCACACCUUUUUGUUGGCAAGUGGUAUGCAACACAACUUUGUCUUAUAAUUGCAGAUCGUGACCAUCAUAGCUCGUAUUCCUCGAGAGAGAAAGAUCGCCAUAGGCAUCAUUCUUAUGGUUAAAGGUAACCAUGCUAGAGAGCUCUGCCCCCAGAUGUCUGAAAAGCAUUACCGGUAGAUAGGCGAUAUCCAUUUUGACCAGCAAGAAACAAUGCCAUGAAUAUAUAUUUCGAGUGAGAUUAAAUUGCAAAGUUGGUUAAAAUGUCCUUUACUGAUCUAUAUGGUAAUCAUGGAAAGUCCUUGGUACAAAGUCUGAAUUCUGAAAUUAUGAUGUAUACGAUGUUCUGAAAAAGAGAUAUGAAAGUCUGAUCAUUUUCAUCAGUACUGGUUUGCUGGACUGUUCUAAUAUGUUGGAAUUAGCACAAGUAAUCAUUUAAGGGAGUUUUAAGGGUUUCUAUACUUUCCCUCAAGGGGUUUAAAUGUUGGUAAAUCUGUUCAUUUGUAGUAAAUAUCAGUGAAUUUUGUAUUGUACUUGUUUCUGAUUUUUUAGAGGAAAGAAAGAUUGUCUGGCAAAAUAACAGCACCACUGAAUCACUGAUGGAAUUAACAACUUUUAGAAAAUAAAAUCGCAAUAAUCAAGCGUGCAAGUGCUCUCGGUCUCUUACUCUUUUCCGUGGCGGUGUUUAACGUUGACAACAUAUAAUGUCCACUUUUUCCCUACUGUUCUGGUUCAUACAGAACUGGAUUAGAUAAUUUUGAGCAUUAUUAUGUUCGUAUUUGUUAGAAUCUGUCUACUAAAAGUAAUUACUAUAAGAUUUAAGAUGCAUAACUCGGUAAAUUUCGGGGUUACAGACUUGCAGCAUAGUUAUUUGGACUAGUUCUUUGCAUUUUGGUCAUGUCUAUAGGGUGAACUUUUUGCAACCGGUCAUGCUUUGUUUAAAAAAAUCGUAAUAUCCGCAUAAUAAAUUUAUUUUCUAUAAAUUUAAAUUUAUAAGAUUACAAUUCAUGACAUUAGAUUUCAAACAGUUUUUGUUACAUGACAUUAUAAUUUUUCAGUUAAAAAAUGAUUGAAAUAUUGAGUUUUUUAGGAGGAAAGCGGUUAGAAAAAUAAGUAAAGUAGUUUCAUUUUCAUUUAUAUUUAUGUUUUCGAAAUUUUAAUAAAGAAUUUUAAUUUUAUUAAUUGCAACUUACUAUUUCUCACUUAGUUAUUAACAGAUAGUGAGUAGGCAAAUAUAUUAUAUCAUUUUAUUUAACAACGCCUACCACUUAUCACUUGUCUGCAAAUUUCAGAUUCUAAGUAGGUAAUAAUAUUAUUUGAGUUUAUUACCCGUAUCAUUUUAUUUAACAACACUUACCACUUAUCAAAUUUCAGAUUUUAAGUAGGUAAUAAUAUUAUCUCGGUUUAUUAACCGACACUUACCACUUGUCACUGACCAACUGAUAUUAGAGUCUUAAUUUGUACUUAUAACUUGCAUGUAAACAGAAAUAUCAUGACGUGUAUGCUAAAUUUAUGCUCUCUUCUUGUUGUUAGACAACAUAAUUUCAAAUUUCGAACAAGUAACAAUAUUAUCUCAUUUUAUUAACCGACAUUUACCACUUGUCAUUGAUCAACAUAUAUCAGUCUUAUUUCACACAAUAACUUCUAUGUAAACAAAAUUAUCAUCACGUGUGUUAAACUUAUACUCACUUCUUGCUACCACAUAUUUCUUGACAUUUUAUUAUUAAUAUUAUAUUAAUAUCUGCAAUAAUAUAUGUAAUAACUAAUAUCUACUGAGAGAUAACUGAUACUGACUAACUGUUGAGGAGAUCAAGAACAUUAUUAUGUGUUUUUAUUCUACGCAACGCAUAGUCGCAUACUAUCAGCUCAUAGACUAUCCGAUAUCUGCCACCAGAACACCAACUAGUGACCUGAUCACCAACUAGCAACUACCACAACGCAUAGUCGCAUACUAUCAGCUCAUAGACUACUCAAUAUCUGCCACCAGAACAUCAACUAGCGACCUGAUCACCAACCAGCAACUACCACAGAUCACAUACUCUCUCGUAUCUAAUAUUUAUGAUCAGAUCACAUGAUUCUUAUAUUAUUAUAUAUCUAAUAUCUAUCAUCGAACCAUCUCAUAUCUAACACCUGUAUGUUGCAUCUUCCAACAUCAACUACCGGAUCACAAACUACCGGAUCACAGAUCGCAGAUGAUCUCAUAUAUCGAAUCUGCGACCUGAUCAAAAGAUGCUAAUAUUAUCAUGUACUUAAUAUCUACCAUCAAAACAUCUUAUAUCUAACAACAGUUUUCUUAUAACAGGACUAUAAUAUAAUAUCACUAGUCCCAUCUUAGCCCGAGUGUCAAAUUAUCAUAAAUAUUGUCUUAAUUUUAAAUAAUCUUUUCUAAAACUAUUUAUUUUAAAUAGCAUGUCAAUUUAAAAGUCUUAUCUGAUUUUUCUCGCACCAAGCUAUGAAAACAUCAGUAAAAAAUCAUAAUUAGCCUUUCAUGAAAAUAUGUGUUCCAAACAAAGCAAAUGUUAUAUACUCAUACUUCUACAUAUACUAUAACUAGACCAUGACACUUGAUCAAGCAUAACUAUACUAGCCUAGAACUAAUAAUUUAAACGUGAAUAAUUAGUACAUUUUCAGCCACACAGUCCAACCACGUUUCUAGUGUGAGACUCUUUAAUAGAACACACAAAACUCAUAAAGUAAUAAAAUAAUAAUAAUGUAAUAAUACAAUAAUCCUCCCCUUAAUUAUCACUUUUUUCACAGAGGUGCUGCUCCCCCAUGAGCGUCCCUUUCUUCUUACCCUACAUCUUUUCAUACCCGGCCCCACAUUUUCAGCUAAAUUACAUUCCAACGGGUCCCACCUCGAAACUCCCCCUCCCACUACACAUCACCUCCCCGUCACACCUGCUUCAUCAUUACCCAUCCAACGGCCCCCGCCAAACCAAAAACCCCCAACGGCUGAGAUCCAUCCACGUGGACAGACCCACAGUGAACGUCACCGCACAGGAUCAUUACUCUAGUGAAAAAGAAAUGUAAGACGAAGACUAGUUAUUCAUUUAUCGUUGUUGGUGUGUGUAUGUGCGUGUUUAUUUCUUUCUUCGUCUUCUCUCUCAAACUCUGUGUGUAUAUAUAUUCUAUACAUACAAACACAAAUACUUAUAUGUAUAACGCGGUGAGUUGAGUUGAGUCGAGUAGUCGUGUUGAUUUACUGAGUCGAUCUGUCCGAGUUUGGUGUUCAAUUAAUUGUAAUUGACCGGGUCAAGGCGUCUCGAUCAAGGUACUUUUCAGCUUUAUCCAUUGAUUUUACUCUCGGAUCAUUUGUUUUUGAGAUUAAUACGUGUUUGACUAGCGAUUUUAGUUGAGAUUUUAUGCUUUUUGUGCUUCAAUUAGUGAGAUUGUUGUUGAAGUUGCUGCCUUCGUGUUUUAAUUGCUUGUUUUAUGUGGAAAUGGGGUGUUAUUUGGAUGGUUGUUUAAAGGUUUGGUUUUUUAUUGUUUUUGGGAUGAUUUGUUAGGGUUUAUGUCGAAGAAAUGAAUUUGGAUUGUUGGAGAAAGUGUGGGUGAUGUCAAUUAGGGUUUUGUGGAUGUGGUUGUUGGAUUGUUUUGUAUGUUUGUUGUUGUGGUAGUCGGAGAUGGUUUAGAUGUAUGUUGCGGUUUUUAUCUGUAUGCGGAGCAUAUUUACUUGGUGAAUUUGUUUUAGAUUUUUAGCAAGAUUGUCUUUUCCGUGAUUUUAAGUGAUAAGAAUUUUAUUAAUCAUAAUUCUAUUGUUGGUUGCGGUUUUUAUUGGUAAGCUGAAGUGUGGUAUUAAUAUAGAAUAAUUUUUAAUGAGAUAUCUUUGAAUGAAGUUUAAUUGUUAUGGAAGCGUUGUAAAAAUAUAUAAUAUUUAUUUGGGGUUUGUGACGGAUAUUAAUGUCAGUGUUGAUUCAUAACUUAAUUUUCGUUGUGUGAUUUUGUUAGGUUGAAGCGGAUUCUGAUGCAGAAUUGAGUCAGCGCUGAAAGAUAUAGUUCUGUGGUAGAGAAGAUGUUGGAGGGUACAAAGUUUACUGGAAUUAUAGACCUGAAUAGCCACCAUGAAUAUGAUAUUUCACAAGUCUUUUAUCGGAAGCUUGGCGAAGGCUCAAACAUGUCAAUUGAUAGUCUUGGGAGCUUGCAAUUGAGCAAUGGCGGAGGUUCAGUUGCCAUGUCUGUUGAUAAUAGCAGUGUUGGUUCCAAUGAUUCCCACACUCGCAUCCUAAAUCACCAGGGACUUAAACGUGUCAACAAUAACUACUCUGUUGCCCAUAGUGCUAAUCGUGGAAAGGUCUCUAGCCUUAGUGAUGAUGCACUAGCUCAGGCUCUGAUGGACAAUCGUUUCCCAUCACAGGGCCUUCAGAAUUUCGAUGAGUGGACCAUCGAUCUCAGGAAGCUUAACAUGGGUCCAGCUUUUGCACAGGGUGCCUUUGGGAAACUAUAUAAAGGUACUUACAAUGGCGUGGAUGUGGCCAUCAAGCUUUUGGAGAGGCCAGAAAAUGACCUGGAAAGGGCUCAAUUGAUGGAGCAACAGUUUCAGCAGGAGGUAAUGAUGUUGGCAACUUUAAAACAUCCAAACAUAGUUCGGUUUGUUGGCGGGUGUCGCAAACCCAUGGUCUGGUGCAUCGUCACAGAAUAUGCAAAGGGUGGCUCAGUUCGACAGUUCUUGGCAAAGAGACAAAAUCGAGCAGUGCCUUUAAAACUUGCUGUAAAGCAGGCAUUGGAUGUUGCGAGAGGGAUGGAAUACGUUCAUGCACUUGGUUACAUACACAGGGACUUGAAAUCUGACAACUUAUUGAUAUCUGCUGACAAGUCGAUCAAAAUUGCAGAUUUCGGUGUUGCUAGAAUUGAAGUGCAGACUGAAGGAAUGACUCCAGAGACAGGAACCUAUCGCUGGAUGGCUCCGUAAGCAUCUGGAUUCUUUAUAUCUCUAUAUUUAUAUAUCUAAUCUUUAUUCUGGUGCUAUUACUCUUUUGCACUUUACAACACUGUUAAUCUUGAGUAGUUGUUAUUUAUGCUCUUGUAGGAUAUCAACAUUUGAGUCAUUUGACUGAUUUGAGUCUUGAUUAGCUUUCUCACUGGAAACUUUAUUUUAAAAUAUAUUUCAAGAAGAUAAUAAUUGGAAAUUCAGAUACAAUACUAAUUGUUUGGGCAAAUUUGUUAUAUGGUAUUGCUUGAUCUUAAGUUAGUGUUAGCAGCUGAAUUGAUGGUUUCCUUUGGGACCCUAGAGUUUUUUUUUAUAAUCUUCGCUUAACUAUGCUUGGAAUUGAAAUGCUAAGAAAAGAUAGCUAGUGAUCUUUGACUGGCUUUAUAUGCCUCAUUUUUUUGGAAUCACAUUUGAGGAGUAACUUUUGGCAUUCACACAAUUUGAGCAAAAUUAUCAAUUAGUCUAUGUUUGCUCCUAAGUGAUAACUCGUUUUUGUUAAGCUGUAUUUGCUAUUAGUUAAACUGAAAUAUAAGUAUUGAGCGGAACAAGGAUCGGGCCCUAAACAAAGCUAAUGGGCUUCCAACCCUGAUAUGUGUGUUAUACAGAUUGAUAUUAUAUUAUGUUUGAAAGUUUAAUAUGUCUAGUUCAUUUAAGCCUUUUGUCUGACAAUAUUUAUGUCAACAUGCUUUUGUCUUCUAAAAUAAAUCUACUAUCCAUCAUUCAUUUAUUGUGUUUAUUUCCUGUUCUCCACUGGUGAUCUAAAACUUUCAUUAAUACGAGACCUUCAUACUAUAAUGUGCAUAUGUCAGUAACAUAACAUAUAUGUUGUUUAAAGUUAUCACAUGUCCUCACACUACAUUGUUAUACUAGUAUACUACCUUUAAGGGGUUUGUUGUUUAGUCUUCCAAUGUUAACAAGAACUUAAUGUUGAUUAUCAGGUAGGUAGAUAUAUGUUAUUUACCUCAGGAUUCAGUAAUCUAGACAGAGUAUUUGUAUUCUUAUAUCAAUUUCUUUCUCUUGAAGUGUUUUUGGUUGUUUGGUUAAGGUUGAGGUAACCUUUCCCUGUUUUGGUGUUAUACUUGCAGUUGGCUUUUAAUGGUUGUCUAUAUUAUUUUUCUUCAUGUUUUAAACUCUAGCACCCUGAUGCUAACUUUUCUUUUUAUCGUGGAAAUUACCUAUUUUUACCUAUUUUAGCUUAGGAGAAUAGAAUAGCUGACUGUUUAUUAUGGUUAGUUAAUAUAUAACGUGUCUUAAAUGUUUACUAAAUACUAACAUAUAAUGUGAUUAUCCUCUCUUUUCUUUCCGUUGAAAAGCAUAUUGAAAUAAAGUAUUUAUAUGUUACCUGGCAUAUUAUUUUUUAAUCUCUGAAUCUGAUGUGCAUGUUCAUUUGUGAUUGCUCUCCACUUUGGGUUAUUUAUAUUAAUAGCAGCCAUAUUGUGUCGUGGGAUGGUUAAAUGCAGUUCUAAUAUACUUAAAUUAUUAAAUGCAGUUCUAAUAUACUCCCUUAAAUUGUUAUAUGCAUUUCUAAUAUACUUCCUUAAAUUAUUAGGGAAAUGAUCCAGCACAGGCAGUACACCCAUAAGGUUGAUGUUUAUAGCUUUGGGAUUGUCCUGUGGGAACUUAUUACAGGAAUGCUACCAUUUCAGAACAUGACCGCGGUACAGGCAGCAUUUGCAGUUGUCAACAAAGGUGUUCGUCCAAAUCUUCCAAAUGACUGCCUCCCCGUCCUUGGUGAGAUCAUGACUCGAUGCUGGGACAGUAACCCUGAUGUCCGGCCACCAUUCACCGAGAUUGUCAGAAUGCUAGAGCAUGCUGAGACUGAGAUCAUGACAACUGUUCGGAAGGCCCGAUUCAGGUGCUGCAUGAGCCAGCCAAUGACUACUGACUGAUGCAGUAAAAAGAAGGAACUUACAGCUCUUAAGAAAGAAAGAGUAAACAAUUUGAAAAGCAAAAAAGUUGGUUAAAAACAGGAAGCUGAAAGAGGUGACUUUAUGUCAGUCUUGUGUAUCUAUCAGGGUUAAUUUCUUUCUUUAAGAUAGAGAAGAGAAAGAAAGUUCGUGAUAAGAACUGCUUAAUUUGUGGUUUUCAUUUUUAUGGAUUUAUGUUGCUGAAUCAGUUGUAGUUAUAGGAGAGAUUUGAUGUGUAUUUUAUAUAAAGCUUUUUCUUUCUACUAUUUUUCCUUGUUUCAUAGUUUUCGCGUACAUCGGUUGUUUCACCAUUAGCAGGAUGUCGAGAUAUAUUUAUUUGGAUUCGUAUAGACAUAGUUUGAUGCACCAUGCUUCUGCAGAUUGUGAUAUUUCUGGCCCCAAGUUGUCAAUUUAUGUUCUGUUUUGCCAGAUUGACCUUUUCUACCGUGGCUAGAGGCUUCCAAAUCGUACAGUGUAUUUAGUACUCGAUGACUUUUUUUGGUCCUUGGGGUAACGGGGUAACCUAUGAAAGUAAUUUAUUUAUAAAUAAUUUAUAAUUCAAAAUAUAUGUAUCUGUUCACUUAUACAAGGCGGUCGGGUGUAUUUGUCUAGCGGGUGAGCGUGGUUUCGACUUUCGAUAGCGAGUGUAAAAUUGAGCAGGUAAAAGCAAGGAUUGGGGUACGAUUUUGAAUGAAUACACCGUAAGAGUGAGUAUGAGGUUGUGUAAAUAGAAGCAGUCUCGCGUUUGAUUUUUUGCAAAGCUUUAAGUAGGUGGGUGAUCAUGUAAAAUGUAUGGACAAACGCAUUUCAGGUUCGAUUAUUUUACAAGAUGGAUAUAGAUUUAAGUGGGCGAAAUUUUAUUAUUUUGAAUUCAAUUCUUCAAGAGUGAUAUAGAUUUAAGUGAGUGUCCUAUUAUCAUAUGCUAGUUAUCUUAUAUGAUUAUUAGUCAUCUUUCACGAGACUGAUGCUAGUUAGUCAUCUUUAACGAGACUGAGAUUAAGAUAACGUAUUUGUCACUCUAAAAGUUAAUAUCAUUAAUUUGAGAUUUUGUUAAGUAAAUGUCAUAUUUCAUACUAAUCACGAGAAUUUUAGGUGGCAGAUGAAUUACACUAAAAGAGCAGGCUGAGAUAAUCUGCAAAAUUAUAAUGCUUAAAUUCAUCAAAUUAUUAUACAUGAAUAAGAAUAUAAUACAAUAUGGAGUAGUAUUUAGCAGAAAAAUAUAUUAAAAAAAAAAUUAAAAUACACGUGAACGGUUUGAAAUGGUUAAAGCAGGGCAGGGUCACACUCACACAAGUGACAUGUGACUCUUUCUGUUGGCAACUUAGCAUUUUUGGCUCUAGAGCAAAGUAUAUACCGGAGGAAUAAUAUAAUAACAUUAUGUUACUCCCUUGGGAUUUGAAAGGGAUAGAAAUUCGAGAACAUAAUUGAACUGAAGCUCUGCUCCAUUUUACCUGAUCGGUAAGCUAUAUUUCAAUCAAUUAUCUGUGUUUUGUGUAAAUUUACGUGAAUUGAUGCAGUAGUUAGUGUGCGAUUCGAAGUUUUAAUGUUAUGCGUGUUUGUAGAUACAGAAAUAAUGGAAGCGUUGAGAAGCAGUUUGAAUUGUAAUCAUACUCGGAAGAUACGUGUUGUCCAUGACAACACGAAGCUGAAGCUGAAGAAGAAGAGUUGCUUGUUUUUAUCGAAUUCGAAGCGAAUCUCUCCGCUCAGAUUUUGCGUUCGAUCAGCUCACGUAAACGUAAUUAUUAGCAUUUCGUUUGUGUUUAUUGCUUAUUUUUAGCUCUGAUUCUGCUUGUUUAACCUCAAUUUUACUGUUCGUAAACGUAAUUAUUAGCAUUUCAGUGGCGUUCGUUGCUGAUUUUAAGUUGGAUUAUGCUUCGGCAGCCUCAGUUUUAGCGUUCGAGCAGCAUGUAAACGUAGUUAAUUGCAUUUAAUAUGUGUUCAUUCCUUUUAUCUUAGUCAUUGCACUUGCAUUUGCUUUAUAGUUUAUAAAAUAUUUAUGUGUUUAAUUGUGUGUAUAUGUGUACUAAGGUAGUAGUGAGUGUUGUGUGUGGUUUUAAGUUUUAGUAUAGCAUGUGAUAUAUACAGAACGGAAGCAUUGAAAGCAAUUUGAAUCAUAUUCAUGUAUGCUCUAUGUACACAUACUGCAUUGUACAAUUUACAUAAGCUUUGGGCGCAAGCCUUAUGAUUAGCUGAGUUCGUUAAUAACUUUUAUUUUGACUGCUUGAAAUUGUGUGAAAUAUGAGUGGAAGUUUUAUGAACCUCCUCUGGAUACGGUAGUCACAAAUUAAACCUUUGAUAAAGUGGAUGGAGCAAAUUUUGGAGAAAAAAUAUAUUAUAUCAUGCUUGGAGUACAUAUUUGUAUUAGUAUUUAAACGCAAAACGUUGAAGUGGAUUGGUAAAUCGGAUGGAGCAGAGCUCAUCAUAGAUGGGGUUAGCUUUUGAUGAGAUUAUUUUGGGAAGAGAAUUAGAGAACAUUGAUACAUCGAGGAGAACAAUUUGUCAAAGUCAUGCUUUUACACUUGCAUAAUAUUUGUUUAUGAGUCCAACUGGCAUCAGCAGGGGAUUUAUUUUUAUUUUAGUGGUGAAAUUUAAGCUUAAUUUGGUAAAACCAUUAACUAUACAAGACAAACACAAUGUAUCCACGGCAUUACCUAAAAACUGAAAAGGAAUGAAAUAGGCGAAGUCUAUACUGUUAUUUAACAAGUUAUUUUUACUUGUUCUUACGUUUAUUAUUGGAUUGUACUUUGGUGGCUAAUUUGGUAUUCUAAAACAUUUUUAUGUGUCCGUGAUGUAUUCUUUAACUUCUUGUGUGGCUUUGUGAUCAACACACUGCACCGACUACAUAGAUACCCCCAUAUUGUAGUGCGAUUAGCCAGAUAAUUCUGGUUGUAAACUUGAAAUGACUUGUAAAUAAUGACAAACAAUUAGAGGUCGAAACAACAAGAAGUUGUAAGACUUAGACGUACUUUAUUCUUUUGUCAGGGUUUGGAAAUGUCAUGCAACUUCCAUGGGAUUUUGUGUUUCUUAGUCUAUUGGAUGUCUGUCAGAAAAGGGAACACAUUCAUUGUUAUGCUUUGAUAGUUCUUAUCUCUUACUCCUAGCUCUAUAUUGUCAGCUAGACUCUGUCAAGCCAAAAGGUUCAGUAGAUCAAGAAUCUGAAAUUCUGGUCUGGCCUUCUCCUAAAGACAAAAUCCCAUUCUGGAAGAGAGAUUUUCCCCUUUCUCAUGUCCGUGCAGAAGGUCUGCCUAAUAUAAAAGACACUGAUCUUCUCCAUAUUGUUCAUAUAACUGCUGAGCUAGCACCAAUAGCUAAAGUUGGUGGUCUUGGUGAUGUUGUUACCGGACUAGGGCGCGCAUGUCUAUCAAGGGGUCAUAAAGUAGACAUUAUGCUCCCGUUUUAUGAGUGUAUCCACAAACACAAUAUAAAUGAGCUGGAACUAGUAACUACAUAUGCCUCAUAUCAUGAUGGAAACUGGGUACCUACCAAUGCAUAUCAUGGAGUAGUUUCAGGCAUUGAAGUGAUAUUUAUUGAGCCUUCCAACCACUUCUUUAAAGGGGAAUCUGUAUAUGGAGGCUCAUACAAUGAGCUCGAAGCAUACUUGUUCUUUAGCCGUGCGUGCCUUGAGUGGAUGCAGGUAGGUAAUCAGUAAUUAACUACCACUGUUAGCAUUCCGUGAAAGUGAAGACAUGAAAUAUUAUCUGAUAUGCUCCAAAAUUUCAAAUACUUCUCUACAGUUAGCUGAUUGUAUCUAAUACUCAAUCUAUCUUGGAUCCAACAAAAAGUUUGUUUAUGUAAUGCAUAAUUUCUAAUUACUUGUUAUUAGCAACUUCUAUUUUCACAUUCCUCUGCUGCAAGAGAAUCUGGUUAUAUAUAAUAUCCUCCGCCCCCCUGAAGCAGCAUGUAACAUUGGAAUCACUUUGUAAAUUAUCAUCUUUACACUAUUUUCUGUUUGGACACUAUCUAUGUUUCUUGGAGUCUUGGGGUAUUAAUAAGCAUGCAAUAACUGCAGAGACGUCAAUUUUUGUGUUAUAUUGCCAUUCUGAUGAUUGCUGUCUGCUUAGCUUUCACAUCAAUUUCUUUAUCUGAGAAAAUUAUUAAUUUUUUAUUUAUUACAGAAAAUGGUAUAAUUUUUUUGUAGAUUACUGGAAAAGAGCCAGAUAUUAUUCAUGUUCAUGAGUGGCAGACAAGUGUACUACCCCUGCUUUACUGGGACAUGUACCAUUAUCUCUCGCUCCAGGUAGACUUGUAGCUUCUACUGCUUUAGUUUCUUCACUGAGAGUCGUUAUUAAAUAUGCUUGCAAAGGGAAGAUCUUAACAGUUGCAAUUGGAUUGUAUUUGUAGAAGCCAAGAAUAGUAUUGACAAUCCACAAUAUGGAGCAUUAUGGAGAAUGCAGGUAUUCAGAUGAUUUAUUAAUUUAUGUAGGUCAUUAUUAUUAUUAUUAUUAUUAUUAUUAUUAUUACUAUUAUUAUUAUUAUUAUUAUUAUUAUUAUUAUUAUUAUUAUUAUUAUUAUUACUACUACUAUUAUUAUUAUUAUUAUUAUUAUUAUAAUUAUUAUUAUUUUACCAGUAAAUUUUGUGUAAUCAAUCAAGUAUGUUAUAAAACAAUGAUUGGUUAUGUAGUUAGACUUCUGUGUAAUAAGCUUAUAAGCUAUCUUUUACUCAUUGCAGUUUCUCCCCAAGAUGAUUUGCUUUGAUUGUUAUACUUAAAUACUUUUUCAACAUGUUUGAUAUGGGAUAAUUCAUGAAAGACAUCAGUAUUUAUUUCAGAAGUCAGAAGUACACAGUCUAUCACUGUGACGUGUUUCUUGAAAUUUGUGAUUGCUUGCUUUUUCAGGCUACUUAGUAGCAUCACUUGGUUCCUUUCUUAUUCUUUUCUUUUUAAAUAUUUGCUUAUACCGUGAAUCUGUUUCUUGUGUUUCUGUGACAGCCAGGAACAGCUUAAUAAAUGUGGUCUUGAUGGAUCUUUAUAUGGGACUCUUGAUAAGGUUACCAUUUAAUGUCAACACGAUCAUGUGCAUGUUAGUGAAAAACAAUAGCAAACAAGCACUGUCAAUGAAAUGGUAAAGACAGGCAAACUAGUAUGGGCAUGGAAAAAAUUAGGGUAGAUGGCAGAAAAAAUUUGCUAUAAAUUGGAUUAUCACAAUAUAUGUUAGGUUUUCCACACUCAAGAAUUUCAAGUGAACCAUGUAUGAAGGCGACUGAAAUUGGGCUUUUGCAUGAAACCUUGUAUGGUAAUAUAUGUGUGUGUGUGUGGCAUAGCCAAAAAAAUCAGGCUCUAUAAAAUUUCCGCUAGGAACUAGAAUUUGGAAUAUAGUUGUGUUCUCUCACACUCGAGAAUCCAGUUACUCCCAAACACCUAUACUUACUGAAGGUGGCUAGAAACAGAUCUUAAUGCACCCCAAUUGCUAUUAUAUAGAUAUCUGUCCAAGUAAAAAGCAUAAGAGGCAAGAUAGACUAAUAAGUGGAUUCAUCAUUUAGGGGACCUUAAUGAUCUGUAAAAGUUUUUCGUUAACUUCAAGCUACACAUGAUCGUAUGAGAUAGGAAGAUUUAGAUAGAUGGCAACCUUAGCAAUAUUCUUUGCAGGAUUGAUGUGAUAAAACCUCUUGAAUUUAAUUAUUUUAAGAUUACUCAUGAGUUAAGUGGCUUCCAUUGUGCAGGCUUCUGACUGAGGUUCCAUAUUACAACUCUAACAGCAUAGUUCAGUAUAUCAGAUAUAUUAACUUAGUUUGGUUUAGUUUGGUCAAUUUCCGCUCUUUUUUCAUAAAUUAAGUGAAAAACUGUAAAAACAUAAAUGUUAUUCAUUUUCUUUAUUGGCAGGCUGUUGAUGAUAGAACCAUUGGCCAUAACCCUGAAAGGUUGAGUUUACUGAAAGGAGGCAUUGUGUACAGCAAUGCAGUGGUGUAAGUAGUGCUUUAGUGUACUUCUAUAGCCAAAAGCAUUUAUUAAAAAUAAUUCACCGAUUUCUCUUGAGUGUAUAUUCAGAUUAACAUACUUGGGUGUUUGAUACUGAUGGCGUUAUUCUGUUUUUAUUGCCUGAUUUGUUUUCUGAUUCAAGCCUUUCUAUGUAUAGAGAUACUCAGAUCAUUAAGCACCAAUCAGCAUUGCCUGCAGAUUGUAUUGUGUUUUCCUGUGAAGACUUUUAUGAGAACCCUUUUUUCUAAUCGAUACAUAUUUUAUUUUCCUGAACACCAUCAUGUGUCUUUUUAGUUUCAGUAUAAAUAUCUGCCAACUCACUAGGUAUUGAAGGAGUGACAUGCUGACAUGCUUCAAAUUAACCCCUUAAUAAGACGAGAUUUUAUUAGCUAUAGUGCUGCGCAGCUGCACCUCAAUUUCCUUUUAUAAAAUAUUCAUUCGUGUUUGCUAAAAGGGUUCAGUUAAGAUAUGUAUGCACAUGUAGACAGGCACAUUGCACUAAAUUCUGCCUAAAACAAAUGUGUUUUUCCUUCUCUUUGCAGUACAGUUUCUCCAACGUACCUUACAGAAACACUAUGCUCUGGAUGGCUUACAAGAACCUUGAUGCAAAAUCGUGAUAAGUAAGAUCUUCCGAGGUCAUAUUAGUAGUCGCUGUACUGUAUAAUUAUAUUAGCAUUUGCUACUGGAGAAGUGCUUUCAACUUGCUCAUUUCUUUUCUCUUCUAGUUUGCACUUAUAAUUGCGAUUCAAUUUCACAACAACUUAUGUUGCUGCUCUUAUUAUUUCUGAACAUGCAAGUAUCUAUAAAUGUAUGAAUAUUAACAUGUCAAGGAUUACAUAGGGACGUGGGUCAUGUUAUCAAUCAGGCGAUUGUACAUUUUAUAAAAAGGGUACACUUACUUUUGUAUCAUCUCACUAAUACUCAUUUUUCUGUGUUGGAGGAGAAUAUUUUACCUUUUUCUAAAGUUCUACAAAGCAUUAUUAGAAGAUAUAUAAAAAGUUGAUACAUAAGUUUCAAAUCCUACCAACAAUAAGUCCCUUCUGCAUCUGAUAAGGUCUACAUGCCACUAUGUUGCCAAUUCUUCUAGGCACUGCAUGACUGUGAUGCCAAACAUAGAAAAGACUUACCUAUAAAGCAACAAGCAUUUUCCUCUCUAUAGUAUAUCUAUGAAAAACUUUGUGUGUUUGAUUUUCAUUAUGCAACUACUCUUAUCGUUUUACAUUUCCCAUAUAACUAAAAUAAAAACAAAAAUGGGGGUAGGCGGUAAGGGAACCGGGGACAAGAGUGUAAAUCGAAUUUAAGUUAUAGUGAAGAAUGAAGCUCACACAAAGGCCGCACAUGGAGAUAAUACCGCAACUACCUAUUUUUGAUAACAAUUACAUAAUGAGCUUUGGAAGGAUCGCCAAAAUAUUCUGCGACUUAUAUUGAACGGCCAUAGUAAUCAGUUCUGAUUUCUGUAAUCUUUGUAAUUUCCAUACUCUAGUAGGUUAAAGACUUGAAUGGUUUAUUUGGAAUCUACUAUAAUUCUUGUUGUAUGAAUCUGAAGAUGUACAGUUUUGCUAUUGUAGAUACAUUGGCAUUUUAAAUGGUAUAGAUACCACGAUAUGGAACCCUGCUACUGAUGCUUUUUUGCCUAUAAAUUAUGAUGGUAAGGUUCUUUGUCCCCUGAUCAUGUAUUCGCAUAUACAAAAAAUGUUAAGCUUUAUUAGUUUCAGUCAGUUGUUUGAAUAACAUGUUUCUUACCUUAGUAAUAGGCUAAAAAUUUCAGUAAUUAAUUAAUGUCAUAUAUAAUACAAGUCACAUCAUUGCUGCUGAUGAUAACUGUUGAAAAUAACUUUUUUCAUAUAAUUUUUUUGUGUGCGUAAUUUAAUUAUGAGAUUCUAGACUGGUGAAAUACAAAGACUUCCAUGUUGAUCUAUAUCAGCUCACGUAAUAUUACAUUUUCGCACUUAUGAAAUACAAACUGUAGUAUGUAUUAUAUGAAAAGACAUUCAUAUACCAUAGGGGUUUUAUAUCAAACUGGCCAUCCGUUGCGUCAAAAUAUCUCACUUGACCUCCCAUCUCAUGGGGGACUCAUUUAAGCCACUAUAAACCAAAUAUAUAUCAUUUUACCCACAUAACUAUUCAUACUUCUUUACUAAAUCAUAUAUCAAAAAUGAACCGUUUAUUUUUUUUUACUACAAAACCACUUAGAGUAUUUUCCUAAUUGUCUCUGGUAUUUAUCAAAAUAAUUUGGGAACAUAGCUAUGUAAUUAAAAAAUAUAUAACUACAAAUAUAGAUUUAUGUGAUCCCCCUACCCCUACCUCCAGUUACCAUUACUAAAGUAUAUUAUGUUUCUUUUUAUUCAACAAAGUGCCCAGAUUUUUCUGUCAUCAACAUUUUGAUAC